AGUCGAGCGGCAGCGCGGGGGCAACCCUGGCGGCGAGCGGCGAACGGGUGAGUAAUACAUCGGAACGUGUCCAGUAGCGGGGGAUAACCAGUCGAAAGAUUGGCUAAUACCGCAUACGACCUACGGGUGAAAGCGGGGGACCGCAAGGCCUCGCACUAUUGGAGCGGCCGAUGCCGGAUUAGCUAGUUGGCGGGGUAACGGCCCACCAAGGCGACGAUCCGUAGCUGGUCUGAGAGGACGAUCAGCCACACUGGAACUGAGACACGGUCCAGACUCCUACGGGAGGCAGCAGUGGGGAAUUUUGGACAAUGGGCGCAAGCCUGAUCCAGCCAUGCCGCGUGAGUGAAGAAGGCCUUCGGGUUGUAAAGCUCUUUCGGCGGGGACGAAACGGUCCGUGACAACACCACGGAUCAAUGACGGUACUCGCAGAAGAAGCACCGGCUAACUACGUGCCAGCAGCCGCGGUAAUACGUAGGGUGCAGGCGUUAAUCGGAAUUACUGGGCGUAAAGCGUGCGCAGGCGGCUCUUUAAGUCAGAUGUGAAAGCCCCGGGCUUAACCUGGGAAUUGCGUUUGAAACUGGAGAGCUUGAGUGUGGAAGAGGGGGGUGGAAUUCCAGGUGUAGCAGUGAAAUGCGUAGAGAUCUGGAGGAACACCGAUGGCGAAGGCAGCCCCCUGGGCUAACACUGACGCUCAUGCACGAAAGCGUGGGGAGCAAACAGGAUUAGAUACCCUGGUAGUCCACGCCCUAAACGAUGUCAACUGGUUGUUGGGUCUCUUCUGACUCAGUAA
rnacentral:rRNA from 1 species